CGGCGGCGACGCCCACUACUCUCCUCGUCCCCGUCCUCUCCUCUUCCUCCGCCCUCGACGUCUCCUUCCGGCGAAGCGACGGCAGGGAGCACACGAGCGGUGGCGGCUGGAUGCUCGUCUCCUCCCAGGCACCCACGACCUCGCAGGACGAGAUGGCUUGGCCAGAGCCGGCCGGCCGUGCUCUUCCUGGUUGGAAGAGGAUGCGGGUGAGGAGGACCCGAAGGGGUCGGAAGGGCGCCGACGGCCAACAUCCGGAGCGACGCCGGCGUGCCUCCUCCCUUCCACUGGCGGAGCGUCAUGGAGGGCUCCGGCCCAGUCUUCCCAAAACGCAAAUAUUUUUUACUACUGCCUAUGUCCGAGCCCGUGCGUCCAUCCGGCCAGGACUGCGACCGACGAAUCGAGUCGUCUUCCUGCUCCAAUUUCAGAUCGUAGUGGACUGGUGCUGCUAAGUGGUGGCCAUAGUCCUUGGUGUUGUCCGCCGCCGUGGACAUUGCUAGCGGAGCAUCAAUUCGAGCAAGGUAUACAAGAAGUUAGGUCAUGGAGUGUUUAAUCCCCUUGCUUUGAUCUGAAACUAGAAAAUCAUCUUACAUUGUUGAUUCCCUGAUUGCACAUGCCGAUUGUGAUAUUUGAAGUUUUUAUUUUAUCUACACAUACACAUUAAUUUAGAUGCUUUGCUUUUCUUAGAACGGAUCUUCUAUUUUUGUGUAAAUCCGUUGGGAGUCUGAGUAACUCCACGUUUGUUCAUGUCUUAAGAUAAAGCCAUGAAGAAAUAUUACAAAAUAAAAAGAGAUGAUGCAAUUGCAAAUGUCGAAUGUGCUUCUGCUCCUGAAUCUGAACAUGAACCAUUGGCAAUUAUCUGUUGAUUUGUGUUACUUUUUAUUUGCAAGAAUGACUUUAUAGGCAAUUUGGCCCUCCCUUUGUUUUGCUUCACGCUCCGCCACUGCUCCCUUCGCUGCUGUGCUCCCACCGCCGCUACUACCACGGUCGUGGAGGCAGUGGGGCACUCGUCACUGGACCCUUGCCGCUCGUUCUUGCGGUCACCUCCGCCUGGCCCCUCUUUGUGGGCUUGCUGCUUGGGGCUCGGUUCUCGCUUCCCCGUCACAUCUGGUCGCGCGCCCAACUCCAUCUCCGGCGUCUCGCGAUGGAGCGAGCUGGAGGCCUCCAGUGUUGGGAGGCAGAGCAGCAGUGUUGCUAGAAUGGGAUGCCGAGUUCAUCAGCCUUUUAUCACAGUAAGUCAAGUAAUUCUUCUCUCAAUUCCGCUGGACAUACAUGACAUUUUUUGUAGCCAAUUCUUUGUCUGCUAAAGAACUGUGUAUUAGGUUUACAUUUUAGGUUAAUCAAUUUGGAUCUGUUACUGGGAGCAUGCAUUGAGUCCGUGAGAAUCUCAAAACAUGCUUCCUAGAGUGGGGUGUUUAGGGUUUCAGAGAAGGGUCGCGGCGCGCCAGUAGAGUCGCCGGGGCGCUGCGUCGCCUCAGGAAGUUUGUCCACCGCCACCUGCCGGGGCCAUCGACCCCUCCCUGUUCUGGUCAUCUUCACCGGUGGAACGGCGGGAUAUUGCUUGGCUCAAGCGGUGAUGGUCACAAGCCUACCGCCACUCCUCCCCGUUCUCUACUCCAUUUGUCAACUGUACAACAGGCACACUCCCAGGAUAAAGUGACAUUCCUAUGGGGAUAUCAAGUGGGUCAGUGGGU